ACGUAUACUUUGGGGGUUAAUUUCACUCUUUUGACUCUUUUUCUACUCAAAUUUUCCGAGCAUUUUAUAUCUGUUAGAGUCUUAAGUCUCGGCAAGUAUAUUUUUCUCUUUUGUUUUUCUUUUCUCUUUUUUUUCUUUUUUUUUCCUUUUAAAGAAAAAACAUACUAUUUUUCUUUUUUUGUACGAUCUCAUAUUAUGCACUUGCCUUCUCUUUCAAGAUUUCCACCCGUUUUAUUGCACAUCUUGCAAUUCACACAAUCAUACCGAGUUAUGACACAAAGGAAAUGAAUGAUUAAAAGUUAACAGGGGGUUUAUGAUGAAUAAUGCUUAAAAGUUAACAUGGGGUUUAUGAUGAAUAAAAUGGCUAAGGCUCAACGGGGUUUACGAAGGGAAACAUACAUAUAGGGAUGGCUAGAAAGGCCCUGGCUAAACAAACAACUUGCCUCAAUGUGUGUUGUCAUGCUGUG
rnacentral:lncRNA from 1 species